UACAGAGGUCUCAAGCGUUGUUCGGAUUCAUUGGGCAUAAAGGGUGCGUAGGCGGCGCGGUAAGUCGGGUGUGAAAUCUCGGGGCUUAACUCCGAAACUGCAUUCGAUACUGCCGUGCUUGAGGACUGGAGAGGAGACUGGAAUUUACGGUGUAGCGGUGAAAUGCGUAGAUAUCGUAAGGAAGACCAGUGGCGAAGGCGGGUCUCUGGACAGUUCCUGACGCUGAGGCACGAAGGUCAGGGGAGCAAACGGG
rnacentral:rRNA from 1 species